GGAGAUUUGUUCAUUCGUGAAGGCUAUCAGUUUGACUAUGUCAUUGAUUGGACCAUAUUAAAGUAUCCACAAAUUGGUGCAAGCUCCAGAACACGGAUUCAAAGUGUGAAUAUUGGUCAAAAUGUUGGGACAUCUGCAGAAAAACCAGGAAGAACGUCAGG